rnacentral:rRNA from 1 species
CCUACGGGUGGCAGCAGUGAGGAAUAUUGGUCAAUGGACGAGAGUCUGAACCAGCCAAGUAGCGUGAAUGAUGACUGCCCUAUGGGUUGUAAACUUCUUUUAUAUGGGAAUAAAACGUUCCACGUGUGGGAUUUUGUAUGUACCAUAUGAAUAAGGAUCGGCUAAUUCCGUGCCAGCAGCCGCGGUAAUACGGAGGGUCCGAGCGUUAUCCGGAUUUAUUGGGUUUAAAGGGAGCGUAGGUGGAUUGUUAAGUGAGUUGUGAAAGUUUGCGGCUCAACCGUGACAUUGCAGUUGGAACUGGCAGUCUUGAGUGCAGGAAAGGUGUGCGGAAUUCGUGGUGUAGCGGUGAAAUGCUUAGAUAUCACGAAGAACUCCGAUUGCGAAGGCAGUUCACUGGACUGCUACUGACACUGAGGCUCGAAGGUGUGGGUAUCGAACAGGAUUAGAUACCCCGGUAGUC